rnacentral:rRNA from 1 species
GAGCUUGCUCCCGGAUGUUAGCGGCGGACGGGUGAGUAACACGUGGGUAACCUGCCUGUAAGACUGGGAUAACUCCGGGAAACCGGAGCUAAUACCGGAUAGUUCCUUGAACCGCAUGGUUCAAGGAUGAAAGACGGUUUCGGCUGUCACUUACAGAUGGACCCGCGGCGCAUUAGCUAGUUGGUGGGGUAAUGGCUCACCAAGGCGACGAUGCGUAGCCCACCUGAGAGGGUGAUCGGCCACACUGGGACUGAGACACGGCCCAGACUCCUACGGGAGGCAGCAGUAGGGAAUCUUCCGCAAUGGACGAAAGUCUGACGGAGCAACGCCGCGUGAGUGAUGAAGGUUUUCGGAUCGUAAAGCUCUGUUGUUAGGGAAGAACAAGUGCGAGAGUAACUGCUCGCACCUUGACGGUACCUAACCAGAAAGCCACGGCUAACUACGUGCCAGCAGCCGCGGUAAUACGUAGGUGGCAAGCGUUGUCCGGAAUUAUUGGGCGUAAAGGGCUCGCAGGCGGUUUCUUAAGUCUGAUGUGAAAGCCCCCGGCUCAACCGGGGAGGGUCAUUGGAAACUGGGAAACUUGAGUGCAGAAGAGGAGAGUGGAAUUCCACGUGUAGCGGUGAAAUGCGUAGAGAUGUGGAGGAACACCAGUGGCGAAGGCGACUCUCUGGUCUGUAACUGACGCUGAGGAGCGAAAGCGUGGGGAGCGAACAGG